rnacentral:lncRNA from 1 species
AUUCAUAUCGGCUGGAUCAUCAAGUCUGUUUAGAUCAAGAUCCAGUACGCCACAGGGAUUUGUGGGAUUGGCAAAUCUUUGGGAAGGCAGAUCUUCAAGAACUCUUUCAUCCGGUACAUUUAGGUCGAAGUCCAAGAAUGUCUUUGUUUGCUUGCCAGCGGUUGUAGAAGCAUCACAGGAAGCCACAUUAUUCAUGCUUAGUGGCACCACCUCUUGGACUUUUCUUGGCUCAGCUGGUCGGAAGGCGCUAGUGGCAGCAGAUCCUCUCCACCCAACAGCUGGUUUAUUUCUCAACAGAUCAUCACGCGGAACAAAAGCACCCUUUGCAGCAGCAGCAACUGUAAUGGAUGCAGGAGGUCGACUGGUUUGUAAAGGAGUAGAUGUCAAAGACAACGAUCCAGAGAAGUUACUUGAAUUCUCCUUUCGUGUGUCAUCCCCAUUGAAAGCUUCAUUUAGGUCAAAUUUAACUCCGGCUUCCAGCUCUGACCCUGCUAAAGCUGAAACUGAAGGGACAUCUUUGGCAACAGAGGUACAUUCCUCUGUUUCAUGCCCAUCAGCACAUGUUGUCGUGGCGCACUGUUUUCCGACUUCAGCACUCUUUAGAGACGCCUCCACAUGCUCAACUUCAAUCUUAGUUACAGAUGAGUCCAGAUGAGCUGUCACAGGUUUGUUCUUUUUAUCUGUUUGGUUCACAUGAUUAAUCCCUAUGUCGAUCUUUUCUGCAGCCACUCCCUUGGAGAACCCAGACGAAACUUUUACAUCUUCACCCGUUUCUUUAACCAACUCGGAACUCAAGACUACCGGGGGUUUCUGCUCUUUCUUGUUAUCAUCGACUACAUCAGAGUGCGAAUUUGCAACAGCCAAGGAAUCUACUUUGGGACAUAAUACGAUGGCUUUACAUUCAGCUGGCGCAGAAGUUUCCACUGAUGUACAAGCAGCCUUUCGAUCGUUAGCUGUUCCAUCACAAUCAUUAUCAUCAGACAAUUUCUCUGGCAUCGAUCUAUCAACAUUUUCAGUACUCCUAUCCUUGGCAAACUCUGACAAAACUGAAACCACUUCACCCAUUUUAUUAACUAGCUCAGAACUUAAUAUCACCUUUGGUUUAUCUUCCACCUGAGCACCACCAGCAGCCUCCAAGUGUGAAUCUUCAGCAGUCAAAGAAUCUGCAUUUUGACUUAUGCCAAUGGUUUUACAUAUACGUAGGGCAGAGUUUCCUGUCCUCAUCACUGUAUCUGCCACUCCAUCUGUCUCUGAUAUCUCAUCAGUCUUUAGGUCACUAACUACCCCACUAUCACCAUCAUCAGAAAUGUUUCCCCCAAUGCCUGAUGUGUGCCCAGCGGUUGGGGCAAUAUCAUCUGAAUUUUCAUUGCUUUCUAGGCACUGAUCCACCAAUCUUUGCAACUCUUCGAUUUCUGAAUCGGAGUUCUCAUCAAGAUCUCCCGGCUUAGAAUCAUUUUCAUUCUCUACAACGGCCAACUGCUCGCCACUACUACUGACAUGUUCAACAAUGGUGGGAUUCACAUUAUCCGCUUGCUCGCUAGGCAAGCCAUCCAAAGAAUCUGAAACCCGAGAUACCGAGGGUGAUGCAACAGGGGAUUUGGACAUUUCAUCAGCAGCAACAGUAGCUAGAAGAUUCAUUCCAACAUCAUCUGCACCAGCCACACAUGCAUUCGCCUCAGAGUCCCUGACACAACUUUCAAUCAAAGCAUUCAUUAAGCUGUGUGAUUCACCAUGCCCUUUUUCAGUUUUGACAUCAUCUCCCGAGGUAGGAGACGUGGGCUUGACAAUAUCUUCUAUUUUACUAGACUCAUUAACAGCCUUCUCGUGCUCACCACCACGUUCACCACAUUUAGGCAGCUUAACCAACAACUUAUUGCUACAACCUUCAGCUUUCUCAAAAGUUACAGUUCUUUGUGAUGAGAUGCUCCUGCUCAGCCCACCUUCUGCGUGGACUGCAACAGUAUUUUUUUGCUGCCCAACGUUAGCAACAGCAACACCUGUUCCAGGUGAUGGGGCUGAUCUAGUAGAACUUGGAGAGGUGGUUGCAGACUUCACGCUGUUAUCUGAAAUACCGGACACGGACUUAAAAGGAUGCAGAGGAGAUACUGAUGUCUUGGUUGCAUCAAAGGAUACAACUGAGUGUCUACUGCCAUGGGAAACUUCAGACUGACGAGGUCUUCCAGGCUUGGCAUCCAUUUCUGCCUCAACACGUUUCUUCCAUGUAUCAACCAAGCUCCUUGCCUUUUUCCCAAUUUCUGAGUUCUUAUGUGAUCGCAAUCGAUUAACAGACUUCCCAAUGUUGCAAGUCUGAAGAGCAUUGAGGUUCACAGGCAGCUUGUCAAGAGCACGUAGUAAAAUCAAAAGAAACUCGUCCACUGAUCUAUCAUUGUCUUUGGGACUGCUCCCAUCCCCAAUUUUCCUUCUAUGAAUCUCCUGUAGCCACUCAUCAAAAACAGAUAAACCCCUCAGCUGGACGAAACGACUGAGACAGUCAAACUUGUCUGUUGCAGCUACAGCACUUGCAAGAAUGGACCGCCCAAUCAAAUCUGUCUUCUUCUCAUUCUUCUCAGGUAGCAUGAGCUGUACCAAUUUCUCAACCCCUUCAGAAUCCACUAGCCUCCCUCUCUCAGUAAUUUUUGCAAUCUCAGACUUCAAACUGCUUUCUUUUCUUACAAAACCAGAACCACCAUCAUCACCUCGGCUCGGACGUUCCCUUUUCACAGAUUCAGAACCCUGAUCACCACGCUCUCUCUUCCUUCCCUUGCCCUGUGAAGAAGAGGAGCUACUGUUCUGCAUACCUUCUGUUCCUGUUUUCACUUGAGAUGUUGUUAACCUAGGAGAACAACCACACUGCUGUAAACUCUUACACAAUAAGUUAUCUACUUCUUGUUGACGUUCCUGCAUAAAAAAAAAAGACUUGUCAAAACCAGAGAAGAAACAUAAUUGGAUAACGAAUUUUAAUCACUCACUCACUCACAUCGAUAUAAUCUUGAUCAGUGAGCCACCAAAUAGACUCAUUCAUAACAUCAUAAACCCUCCAGCAAACAAACGAAGAGAUUCCAGAUGGGAGUUCAACGCCUCUGGGAAGAAAGGUAACUUUACACGGAUGAAGCAAAGACGCAGCAGGUAUCUCAUCCUCGUGAAAGGAGUAAAAGAUCUCGUUAGGCUGAGCCUCCAAAAGGACGCCCUUCCCAAGCUUCAACUCACCGGGUCGAUACAGCCAAUUCACACGAACCUUAAAGCUGCCUCCUUCUUCUCGUUCCGGAACCAGCAAACGGAUCAAACCAAUGAACGGUGGACAAUCCUGAGGCGGCUUGAACAGAGCACAGUCACCAACACUAAUCCUCCUCCCGUCCUGCAAUAACCAUCAUCAAAAUCAAAACUUUAAAUCAAAUCGGAACCAAUCAAAAGCCAAUUGAGACGAAUCAAGUUACCUUAGAGAAGGAAGAAGGUGAAGAAAGAGAGAGCGACGAAGAAGAAGAAGAAGCGGUUGAGAUUAGACGCGAAGGAGGUCUAAGCAUAAGCAGACGACGAUGACCUUUCUUCCUCCCAUGCAUAGCCGUCUCUCAUUUUUUCCCCUUUCGAAUCAAAACAAACACAAUUUCGUCUUCCUUGUCAGAAUUGGUUUUCGAUUAAAAAAAACCCUAAAAUUGAGAUUAAAAGAAGAAGAUGCGAUUCCUUAGGGAUUGAUUUUUGAAAUCGAGUACCUGAUCCAAUCAACCCGCGAAGAUCCAACAGCGAGAAGAAGAAGAAACCCCCGUAGAGUGCGAGACACGAAUCGAAAGCACGCCCUUGUUUGUUUUUUCGAUCCAGCGAAGAAGAAGAAGAAGAAGAAGAAGAAAAAAAAAUAAAAUCGAGAGAGAGAGAGAGAGAGAGACGAAGGCAAAAGGGGGGUACUACGAGUCGGGGCAGUUCGGGCAUGUGUUUCGGGCAGCGUUUUUAUUUAUUUUGUUUUUGGUUUUCUGGUGACAUUUGAGUGUGUUUUUCUUUUCUCCCCCCUUUUUAUAGCUCUUUUUGAUUUUUCUAAUUUUUUCCUAAAUUUAAAACAAAACGAACUUCGUGAUUUAAAAAAAAAAGUUAUUUGGGUUAAACACAAAAAAAAGUCUGAUCAUUUAUAAAAAUCAAACGAAAUUUAGGAUCAUUUUUAAUCAACAAACUCAAAAAUAAAUGUGAGUACUUUAUAAAAUAAAAUUAGAGAAAUGUUCUGCUCAUUUUGUUUCAUAUAAUGUAUUUUAAAAAAUGUUCUCGCGUAUUUAAAAUUGAAUUAGAAACUCUAUUUUAUCCGUUGACACACUUUUUUAUUUAUUUAAUACACUAAUACAAUAAGGUUAAAAAUGAACAUUUAUUUAAAUUUUGUAUUGAAAAUAAAAAACGACACACUUUUUGAAAUAAAAAUAAAACUCUAAACACACUUUUUAAGAAACUGGGAAGUAUUAUCUAAUAUUUAUAGAAGAAAAUAUCACAUUCAUCUAAAAAUAGAAAAAAAAAUAUAACAUAUUGGAGUAAAAUCUUCAUUUUCUGUAUCUUUAGAUAUGUGCACAUUUUCUUGCCAAGAAGAUAAGAAAUAUUGAAAUUUUCUUUUUUCCAUGUAGAUCAGAUCUGGUCUGAGAGAGCGUCUCUUUGGAACGUAUCAGCCAUGACUAAUACUUAUCUUAUAAAAUAAGUGUCGUAAAAAAAUGGAGUAAAAUUCCUAUGUAUUUGAAAAAUUCUAUUUUUAGUGGAAAAAAACUAGAAGAGAGAUUAUCUAUAUAGCAAGCAAACUAAAAUUAUAAGCAUGAAUAAGUUGUUUCCACAAGUUUACAAAACCGAUCAGUUUAUAUAAUAAUUUUGUGAUUUGAUCCAGUUUAUUCUGGCUGAUUACGGUUUGAAUGUGGUGACCUACCCUCCACAACAAGUUAUGUUUGGUUAUGAUUUUUAUGCGAGGAUCUUUUGGUUACAUUGUACAGUGUCAAAUCACUGUCAUCAAAGUACAAGUCAAUCAUUGUCUCUCUUUGACACAGACAUUAACUUUUUUUACAAUGAGACUAAGAAGCUAUUUGAGUAGCUUCCAGUGACAUGUCUUCUUCACUCACCGAUAGCUCCAAAACAUGUUCUUCACAAGGCACAAAAUAUGUAGAACAUCUCAAAGAUUUUGAGACAGUAAGGUUAAGCUAACUGAAGGUUCCAUAUUUGCAUAGGUGACAAGACUAGUCAAAAUUGGCAAUUGGAGAUGGUGCAAAAGAUGUUAGGAAUGCUUCAAGAAGCAGAUAUAGGAGUUGGGAUCAGUGGAGUGGAAGCAAUGCAGGUUCUUUAAAGAAUCUUAGGACAACCAUUUGCACGGUUUUGUAUCAAGGUAUAAUGAAUCAUUCAAAUCAAAAAGAGCUGCGUAGUUUGCUGUAUAGUGGAGUUUCUUAACCCAAAGCCUUGCUUCGUUUGCUGUAACUGUUCCCUAUAUUGUACCAGGAAGUGGUACAAAAUCUCCCCUUUGGUUGUUACAUGGCUUCUGCAGCACAAUAACCAUUUUCUUCCUCUGCAAAACCUCUCUUGAAUCCCAAGCUUUCAACCACCAAGGGAAAACCGCAGGGGAGAGAGAGAUUUUUGGAGGAACUAUGUACACAUGUGGGUUGAGUUAGCAGAUGGUACAAUCAGUUACUACCUGUUAUUGCAAAUUUGCAAUAUAUGAGCCAUUUUGUUAUAACAGAGACAAAGUUCUGAAAUGUGGAUUCAAACAUAACUAACCACAAGUAAAAAAAAUCUACAAAAGAGUUGCUGCUGACUAUAUAAUACACAAACCAUGUCAGAUUUUACCAGUCUCAUACCAACAAUGACCAUCAUUUUUUCUUUUACAGCAGAGCUCCAAAAAAAAGAGAAAAAAAAAACAUAAACUAAACACUCGCUUGCAUCUCUAAAAGAGAUAAGGAACUAAGUUAGCGUCUGCUUUUAUCUUCAAGAGUACCUAAGAGCCAACAAAGAUUGAAUUAGAAACACAGUCAGCGAGAGAUAAUAUAAAGAAACAGAAGAUGGUAGAGCUGAAAGAAGAGAGUAAAAAUAUGCUUACAUGCUUAGUGCAACGGCCUACAAAGAGAUUCUGAGGUUUGUUAUUGCCAAGAGGGUUGCUUGUAUCCAUCCCAUCCACCACUGUCUGGUUCCUUCCUCUUGAGAGUACCACCAAACAUUUGAUACAUUCUUGCUUCAUCUUUCAAGGGUAAAGAACCAGAGGAAGAUAGCUGUCUUUGUACAAGUGCUGCUUCAUCUCUGCCAUCAGUUUCAUGCCCUCCUGGUCCAGAGUUCAAGUCAAGACCAGAUCUAAACCAUUUUGCAUUGUUGCUGCUGUCCGAAACUCCACCAUUGCUACUACCGUUUGGGAGAUUAACGACAUAAGGUCUUGGGUAGUUAGAAGGGAUGGCAACUCCUGGACCCAAUAUUUGAGAGUUGACAGGAGGGAAGCAUAGCCUGCCACUUGAUGAAGAGUCCAUGUAUGGUGUUGAAGCACCUGAAAAAUUUGCUGAGGAAAGAGGAAAGCUGGAACCAAAAGGAAACCCAGGAUACUGAAAUGCUGAUGGUGGGAAUGAAACUGCUGGAGAAGACAGUAAAACAGGGCCUCUGUACAUAUCAGGUGUAUAUGAUGAAACUUCAGAUGUUGGACCAACCAUUCUCUGCGGUCCAUUGCCACGUUCAGGCAAGACUUGAGGAAUGCUCAUUGCUGAAUAAUUGUUAACAGCAGGAAACCAAGAUGAGAAGCCAGGCCUUAUUCCACUGAUCAUUGGCUGUGCACUUCGGGAAUUUUGACUAAAACCCAGAGAUGACUCAACAACGUUAACAUCAUCAACAGCAGGUCCAUCGUUUAAAUCAAAAUCCCUACUACCACCAGAAGAUAAGUUUGUCUGUUGAAAAGUUGAAUUCACCCGAUGACCACUGCUUACCGUAUGAUUAUUCAUAUCGGCUGGAUCAUCAAGUCUGUUUAGAUCAAGAUCCAGUACGCCACAGGGAUUUGUGGGAUUGGCAAAUCUUUGGGAAGGCAGAUCUUCAAGAACUCUUUCAUCCGGUACAUUUAGGUCGAAGUCCAAGAAUGUCUUUGUUUGCUUGCCAGCGGUUGUAGAAGCAUCACAGGAAGCCACAUUAUUCAUGCUUAGUGGCACCACCUCUUGGACUUUUCUUGGCUCAGCUGGUCGGAAGGCGCUAGUGGCAGCAGAUCCUCUCCACCC